CUACGGGAGGCACCAGUGGGGAAUAUUGCACAAUGGGCGCAAGCCUGAUGCAGCAACGCCGCGUGAGGGACGAAGGCCUUCGGGUUGUAAACCUCUUUUAGCAGGGAAGAAGCGAAAGUGACGGUACCUGCAGAAAAAGCACCGGCUAACUACGUGCCAGCAGCCGCGGUAAUACGUAGGGUGCAAGCGUUGUCCGGAAUUAUUGGGCGUAAAGAGCUCGUAGGCGGUUUGUCGCGUCUGCUGUGAAAACCCGAGGCUCAACCUCGGGCUUGCAGUGGGUACGGGCAGACUAGAGUGCGGUAGGGGAGAUUGGAAGUCCUGGUGUAGCGGUGGAAUGCGCAGAUAUCAGGAGGAACACCGAUGGCGAAGGCAGAUCUCUGGGCCGUAACUGACGCUGAGGAGCGAAAGCAUGGGGAGCAAACAGGAUUAGAUACCCGCGUAGUC
rnacentral:rRNA from 1 species